rnacentral:rRNA from 1 species
UACGUAGGGUGCAAGCGUUAAUCGGAAUUACUGGGCGUAAAGCGUGCGCAGGCGGUUAUGCAAGACAGAUGUGAAAUCCCCGGGCUCAACCUGGGAACUGCAUUUGCGACUGCAUGGCUAGAGUACGGUAGAGGGGGAUGGAAUUCCGCGUGUAGCAGUGAAAUGCGUAGAUAUGCGGAGGAACACCGAUGGCGAAGGCAAUCCCUGGACCUGUACUGACGCUCAUGCACGAAAGCGUGGGGAGCAAACAGG